rnacentral:rRNA from 1 species
GACGAACGCUGGCGGCGUGCUUAACACAUGCAAGUCGAACGGAAAGGCCCUGCAUUUGUGGGGUGCGCGAGUGGCGAACGGGUGAGUAACACGUGAGUAACCUGCCCUUUACUUUGGGAUAACUUCAGGAAACUGGGGCUAAUACCGGAUAGGAGCUCCUGAUGCAUGGUGGGGGUGGGAAAGUUUCGGCGGUUGGGGAUGGACACGUGGCUUAGCAUCGUGUUGGUGGGGUAGUGGAUUACCAAGGCGUUGACGGGUAGCCGGACUGAGAGGGUGACCGGCCCCAUUGUGACUGGGAUGCGGCCAGGACUCCUACGGGAGGCAGCAGUGGAGAAUAUUGCACAAUGGGCGGAAUCCUGAUGCAGCAACGCCGCGUGGGGGAUGACGGCCUUCGGGUUGUAACCCGCUUUCGCCUGUGACGAAGCGUGAGUGACGGUAAUGGGUAAAGAAGCACCGGCUAACUACGUG